GCAUUAAUCUGAAGAUACAUCAUAAUGGUCAUAUGAUGAAUGAUAAUUUCAAUACGUAACAGAUACCAAGUGUGUAGCGUCUCCAAUGCCUAUUUGAAAUAUUAGACUCCUUAUCACGCACCUUAAUGGGAGGCAAUGAUCAAGUUAUCUUAUAAAUUUAUCACUUUAUGGACCUAAUAAUUUAUAGAAUUUGAUUUUAUUGAUCUGAGAAUAAGAGAAGAAGUCGAUCUGCAAGCCGUUAAUCCUCCC
rnacentral:lncRNA from 1 species